rnacentral:rRNA from 2 species
GAUGAACGCUGGCGGCGCGCCUAACACAUGCAAGUCGAACGGUUAAAGCACCUUUAGGUGUGUAUAAAGUGGCGAACGGCUGAGUAACACGUGGGCAACCUGCCCUCCUCUUGGGGAUAGCCUCGGGAAACCGAGGAUAAUACCCGAUACUUCAAUGUGGCCGCAUGACGACAUUGAGAAAGCUUUUGCGGAGAAGGAUGGGCCCGCGGCCUGUUAGCUUGUUGGUGGGGUAGAGGCCUACCAAGGCAAUGAUGGGUAGCUGGGUUGAGAGACCGACCAGCCAGAUUGGGACUGAGACACGGCCCAGACUCCUACGGGAGGCAGCAGUGGGGAAUCUUGCACAAUGGGCGAAAGCCUGAUGCAGCGACGCCGCGUGCGGGACGAAGGCCUUCGGGUUGUAAACCGCUUUCAGCAGGGACGAGGCGUAAGUGACGGACCUGCAGAGAGC